rnacentral:rRNA from 1 species
AUCAACUUUCGAUUGGUAGGAUAGAGGCCUACCAUGGUGGUAACGGGUAACGGGGUGUUAGGGCACGACACCGGAGAGGGAGCCUGAGAAACGGCUACCACAUCCAAGGAUGGCAGCAGGCGCGCAAAUUACCCCAUCCCGACACGGGGAGGUAGUGACAAUAAAUAACAAUACGGGGUCCUUUCGGGUUUCGUAAUUGGAAUGAGUACAAUUUAAAUCUCUUAACGAGGAACAAUUGGAGGGCAAGUCUGGUGCCAGCAGCCGCGGUAAUUCCAGCUCCAAUAGCGUAUAUUAAAGUUGUUGCAGUUAAAAAGCUCGUAGUUGAAUUUCGGGAUCAGUACGCCGGUCGUGCCUUCGGUAUGCACUGGUGUCACUGGUUUCUCCCUUCUGAAGAACCAUCAUGCCAUUCAGUUGGUGUGGCGGGGAAUCAGGACUGUUACUUUGAAAAAAUUAGAAUGUUUAAAGCAGGCUCGCGCUUGAAUACAUUAGCAUGGAAUAAUGAAAUAGGACGUUUGACCCUAUUUUGUUGGUUUCUAGGAUCGACGUAAUGAUUAAUAGGGAUAGUUGGGGGCAUUAGUAUUCAAUUGUCAGAGGUGAAAUUCUUGGAUUUAUUGAAGACUAACUACUGCGAAAGCAUUUGCCAAGGAUGUUUUCAUUAAUCAAGAACGAAAGUUAGGGGAUCGAAGACGAUCAGAUACCGUCGUAGUCUUAACCAUAAACUAUGCCGACUAGGGAUCGGAUGAUGUUAAUUUUUUUAAUGACUCAUUCGGCGCCUUACGGGAAACCAAAGUGUUUGGGUUC